AAAAACUUAGGAUUAACCAAACCAAGAACCUUCAAAGUUCAAAAUGUGGGUGAAACCCCCAUAGUUUUUG
rnacentral:tRNA from 1 species